GCCUCACUUGUUCACUUCUUCCUGCUUUGCCCCUCGACUCUGCUCCACCAUUUGGGCAGGGCAGGCAGAAGUGGACAAGUGAGGA
rfam:Pongo abelii chromosome 2a.